rnacentral:rRNA from 1 species
UGGGGAAUAUUGCACAAUGGGGGAAACCCUGAUGCAGCGACGCCGCGUGAAGGAAGAAGUAUCUCGGUAUGUAAACUUCUAUCAGCAGGGAAGAAAGUGACGGUACCUGACUAAGAAGCCCCGGCUAACUACGUGCCAGCAGCCGCGGUAAUACGUAGGGGGCAAGCGUUAUCCGGAUUUACUGGGUGUAAAGGGAGCGUAGACGGAAUGGCAAGUCUGAUGUGAAAGGCGGGGGCUCAACCCCUGGACUGCAUUGGAAACUGCCAGUCUUGAGUACCGGAGGGGUAAGCGGAAUUCCUAGUGUAGCGGUGAAAUGCGUAGAUAUUAGGAGGAACACCAGUGGCGAAGGCGGCUUACUGGACGGUAACUGACGUUGAGGCUCGAAAGCGUGGGGAGCAAACA